rnacentral:misc_RNA from 1 species
CGCACACUGCCGCAAUCGUAGGUACCAUAACAUAACUGCAUCAACAGAUGAACGGAGAUUGAUGCCGAUUCGGAAGCACUAUAUAGCUCAAUAAGCUGGAACAGUUCAAUCUAAGAUUAUGGAGCUUGUGUAAACAAAAUUGUUGAUUGAGAUUUUUGAUUGUGUCGCAUAACCAUAAACACAAUCGCUUUGGAGCACAUUUUCAGAGAAUUGGAUUUGGAUUCGAAGUGUGAUUAUUUUAGGAUAUAGGUGUAAGACUAGUGAAACGGCAUAAAGAAGAUAAUAAAAGAAUUCAAUUAACCAAGAAUCGUGACAUUAAAGCUUCGUUGCUGACUUUUCAAGCAGUCCAAGGCAAUAGGCAACAUUGAGAUAACAUUUAGAUAACGUAACGUCAAAAUCUCUCAAGAUAUACGUUCACAAACUUCAGACCAGCCUUCGCGAGGAGCACAUUUAAUGUAUACAUAGUCUGGAUGAAGUCUAUUACAGAGAAACAAGCCUUAGUUCUUGUACAUUCUGAGGUUACGUCUGUUUAGAAGCCCUUAACAUAUCUGGCAGUUGCUUUUCUAUUUUCAGACUGUAUUGCAAAGGUCGAGAAUUUCCACCUAGAAUAGAGUCAGUUGGUAAAUACAUGCCGCAUAUACGCGAUAUGAAGAACAGUGCGCAAUAGGAACAUUGCAUUGAAAGCCGGUAAAUAUAAUCCAAGAGUCUAAAGAGAGAAAAUAGAGAACAGCAAUGUAUAAGAUAAGCUAAUUACUUGAUGAGAUACAGAUUUAUAAUUGGAUAAAUUGAGUAGGAUAACGCCGACAAAGGACGCUAAAUUAAACGCUAAAAAACGUCAGACGAGAAUAACUCUGAUUUGUUUUCCUCGACCUCUGAGUAUCAUUGGCGUUGGAACGACAUACAACUAUUUAGAAAUUAAUCUUGUGUCUAGUUUGGAGCCCUUGGUUAACCUACAAGAUGACAUCCCCGGAUUCAUACAGUUACAUUGAUCCAAUGUAUCACCAGUUCGAAGCCCAUUUUCCGGACCGACAUCUCCGGCUUGGCCCGCUAUCUGGCGUCCCUGAAAACAAGGCGGUACCCAAAGGAGCAAAAAAGGGGAAAAUGAGACGCAAUCGUAACCAGGCGAGAUAUAAAACUCAGCCAAUCACAUUCGAUGAGAUCAAAGAAGUCGAUGAGGAGAAGGAGGAGGACACAACUACAAAGAAAGGAGAUAUCCUUAGUCAACUAACCGCAUUCUCGAGGUCCAUGGAUGGUCUAAUGCCAACGAAGAAAAAUCUCAAGCUUGCGACGCCCUUAUUGAGAACCCCAUUGGGAAAUAUAUCUGCCCCACUAGAUAUCGCUCAUCCAAAGGUCAGAGACGGGCCAUCGCCAAUCCUUGAACAACCUCCUAAAGAUUCCGAGCUUCAAUUUACGAGGCAAGAUCUUGAAGAGCCUUCGUUAACCUCUUCUCGAACGGAACCUAUAUUGCCUUCACUAAAAACAGAAUCUUCCUUAUCAUUAACGGAUCCCAUAUCAUCCUCAACAAAAACGGAAACAAGCCCAUCCGGCCCCGAGGGACAAUCUAAUCGGGAUAAUAAAUCCUCUGAUAAAACAGAUAGACUGCUAGAUUCGGAAACAUCGUCUGCUGAACGCAAAAUUGAGCAGACGGACGCCCUUGCUAAAAAUGAUUCAUCAAAAUGUAUGGAAUCCGACCCAAACAAGGAUGAGUCAAAACUGAAUGGAAGUAAUUUGACAAGUGUGGAUACAGCGAAAUCAACGGCAGAUACAUAAUAUUUUGAACAGUAAGGUUGUGCUGAACUUUGUAUUUAUUACCACGAUGUAUGAGGAGUGUUUUCUCAAACUUUGAGAUUUAAGAACUACCAUGACCUGCCAUCUUUCGAAUGAACAACAAAUGGAUUGAAAGAAGGCAAAAAUGUAAUGUUGAGCGAAAAUGGAUUAAUUUCAUGGUCUUUCUGACGUGCCGCAAUUUUUCAGACAGUCUAAAGUAUCAUCUCCAUACUUAAUCGGCAUCGCUUUUGAUUGAUCACAGUGAAUGCUUGUAGUAAUAAGAGUGUUAUCAAUCCAUAGGCUACUGUAUUGUUUUUGCAUAGUCUUACAUAAAGUCUGUAUGUAUAGUGUAUACGGAAAGGUUUUUCUUAUGACUGGUCAUGGGUGAUGUUAACGUUCUAAAUCUGA